rnacentral:rRNA from 1 species
AUUGAACGCUGGCGGCAGGCCUAACACAUGCAAGUCGAACGAGUGGCGGACGGGUGAGUAAUGUCUGGGAAUCUGCCUGAUGGAGGGGGAUCACUACUGGACACUGUAGCUAAUACCGCAUACCAUCGGAUGUGCCCAGGUGGGAUUAGCUAGUUGGUGGGGUAAAGGCUCACCGAGGCGACGAUCCCUAGCUGGUCUGAGAGGAUGACCAGCCACACUGGAACUGAGACACGGCCCAGACUCCUACGGGAGGCAGCAGUGGGGAAUAUUGCACAAUGGGGGAAAGCCUGAUGCAGCCAUGCCGCGUGAAUGAAGAAGGCCUUCGGGUUGUAAAGUACUUUCGGCAGAGAGGCGUUACCUGCAGAAGAAGCACCGGCUAACUCCGUGCCAGCAGCCGCGGUAAUUC